rnacentral:rRNA from 1 species
UACGGAGGGGGCUAGCGUUGUUCGGAAUUACUGGGCGUAAAGCGUGCGCAGGCGGUUCGUUAAGUCAGCUGUGAAAGCCCCGGGCUCAACCUGGGAACUGGCGGUUGAAACUGGCGAACUAGAAUCUGGCAGAGGGGGGUGGAAUUCCACGUGUAGCAGUGAAAUGCGUAGAGAUGUGGAGGAACACCGAUGGGCGGAAGGCAGCCCCCUGGGCUGAGAUUGACGCUCAGGCACGAAAGCGUG